GCGCGGGAAGUCGGAUAGCACGACUGACUCUGGAUCAGUUAGUGAAGGUUCGAAUCCUUCUCCGGCA
rnacentral:tRNA from 1 species